GCUGAUCUGCUCACAGGAAUCCAGAUGAAGAGAAAAAGAGAGCAGAAGAGGACGGAAAAGAAAUAAGAAAUAAAAAGGAAGAUAUCUGAUGAGAAGAAACAGCCACAUCAGAGAUCCAGAGCUCCUGCUGUUGCAGAAGCAACAUGAAGACUGAAGUUAUCUGCAGGGAAAGGAAGUAAGUUGGGGGCGGGCUGAAGAGACAGUUCUUGCAGCUCAUUGGUUACAGCAUCACUCUGUGGACUGGAGGCGGAGCCUGUGGCAUCAGUCGGGGCACCUGGACCUGAAUCCUCCCAAAUAGUCGCCAUUGUCAAAAAGAGCCCUCAAAGAGAAAGAGAAAGAGAAAACAUUACUAAAAGUAAUUACAUUAGUCAUUCAUUUUUAAUCUACUUAAAAGUUAGUAUUUAGUAGGCUUGUGUAAAGUGUAAUUUGGACAACAGUUUUCCAGAAUAUGUACAAGGAUAUUUUCCAGGAAAAUGUACAACACUGUAAAUAUGUAUGAAGAUUUGAAUAUGCAGGGUAAGAGCUGUGGAAGUGUACAUAAAACUGUAAGUGUAAAUUAAAUUUGCAUGAGCAAGAGAAGCUUUGUAAAGGUGUAAAUCGUGUUUCAAGCAUAAAACUAAAAUUAUUUGCAGCAUUUUACUCUUACUCAUAAGUGUAAUUCAACUGCAGCUUCAUGCUAAAGCAAAAUAAAUAUGAUCUGCUUUC